CACCUACGGGGCGCAGCAGUGAGGAAUAUUGGUCAAUGGCCGAGAGGCUGAACCAGCCAAGUCGCGUGAGGGAUGACGGCCCUACGGGUUGUAAACCUCUUUUGUCGGGGAGCAAGACCCGCCUCGUGCAGGCGGAGCGAGAGUACCCGAAGAAAAAGCAUCGGCUAACUACGUGCCAGCAGCCGCGGUAAUACGUAGGGUGCGAGCGUUAAUCGGAAUUAAUGGGGGUAAAGGGUGCGCAGGCGGUUGGGAAAGACAGGAGUUAAA
rnacentral:rRNA from 1 species